rnacentral:tRNA from 1 species
GGUGGCUCAGUGGUAGAGCACUUGCCUUGCAUGCCUGAAGCCCUGGGUUCAAUUCCUUGGCACCA